rnacentral:RNase_P_RNA from 1 species
GCGGUAGAUCAGGUAAUCGCUCUGCCCGCGGGCGGAGAGGAAAGUCCGAACUCCACAGGGCAGGAUGCCCGGAGUUAAUCCGGGACCCGGCAGGUGUAAAUCUGCCGGGAUGGAAAGUGUCACAGAAACCAAACCGCCUUUCCGGCUUGCCGGGAAGGUAAGGGUGAAAAGGCGGGGUAAGAGCCCACCAGCCGGUCUCCUGCGGGAGAAUUUGUGGUAACACCCGGGCUGGACAAACCCCUUCCGGAGCAAGGCCAAAUAGGGAAGCAUUUUCUGCGGAAAGCGAGGCGGCCCGUCUCGUGGUAACCUGGUUACCAAGACUUCCGGGUAGGCUGCAUUAGAUAAAUGAUUACCAUCCCGGUUCGCCGGGAUACAGAAUUCGGCUUAUCGAUUUACCGCAAAU